rnacentral:rRNA from 1 species
AUUGAACGCUGGCGGCAUGCUUUACACAUGCAAGUCGAACGGCAGCACGGACUUCGGUCUGGUGGCGAGUGGCGAACGGGUGAGUAAUACAUCGGAACGUACCCAGUAAUGGGGGAUAACUAUCCGAAAGGAUAGCUAAUACCGCAUACGCCCUAUGGGGGAAAGAGGGGGAUCGCAAGACCUCUUGUUAUUGGAGCGGCCGAUGGCUGAUUAGCUAGUUGGUGAGGUAAAGGCUCACCAAGGCGACGAUCAGUAGCGGGUCUUAGAGGACGAUCCGCCACACUGGAACUGAGACACGGUCCAGACUCCGACGGGAGGCAGCAGUGGGGAAUCUUGGACAAUGGGCGCAAGCCUGAUCCAGCAAUGCCGCGUGCGUGAAGAAGGCCUUCGGGUUGUAAAGCGCUUUUGUCUGGGAGCAAAUCCUUGUGGUUAAUACCCACCGGGGAUGAGAGUACCAGAAGAAUAAGGACCGGCUAACUACGUGCCAGCCGCCGCGGUAAUAC